UCAUGCCUACAGACGGAGAGAGAGAGAGAGAGAGACCAGAUCUUGAAGGGCACCCACCCGCCUUAGAUCUGCGAGUUUAAGCUCUCGAGGUUGGCGACAAUGGCGAAACUGGAACCGUUGGACGAGCCCAGCAAGACCAAGAGCAAGAAGAGGAACCACGGUUCCACGAGCUUCUUCGUCUUCGUGGAUUACCUCUUCCUUUUCAUCUUCUUCGGCUUCCUCUGCUUCAUCAUCUUCAAAAUGGUCGGCUUCUGAGCUUCCCGAUCCUUUUGCAUUUCAUCACGGAGAGCAAGGAAUUCGGUGGAUCUUUCCCCUGUAACCGGUUUUGAAGAUGCGAUACAUCAGCACUUGCUUCGGUGAAUAAUCAGAGAUGACAUACAUCUACCUUUUUUGUCUUGCUUUCAAGCAAAUCCAUUUUGCCGAUCCUCUGGAUACUUGAAACUUCAUGGCCCUGUAUUAGUACCUUCUUGAUUCUUUAUUGAUUACUCUCGCCUCUCUGUCCAUAUGCUUCAAGUGCUGAGGACGAGAAUCUCUUUCUAUGCUGGAUACCUUACCAUGUAAUAUCUCUCGGACUAUCACUAUCAGCAUAGAAUUGCUUAAUGGAAAGAAAAUUGAAUUGCA